UCUGGCUCAGGAUAAACGCUGGCGGCGCACAUAAGACAUGCAAGUCGAACGGACUUAACUCUUCUUUUAGAUUGAGAGCGGUUAGUGGCGGACUGGUGAGUAACACGUAAGCAACCUGCCUAUUAGAGGGGAAUAACAGUGAGAAAUCAUUGCUAAUACCGCAUAAGCUGAUGGUAUCGCAUGAUACAGUCAGAAAAGGAGUAAUCCGCUAAUAGAUGGGCUUGCGUCUGAUUAGCUAGUUGGUGGGGUAACGGCCUACCAAGGCGACGAUCAGUAGCCGAGCUGAGAGGCUCUACGGCCACAUUGGGACUGAGAUACGGCCCAGACUCCUACGGGAGGCAGCAGUCGGGAAUAUUGCGCAAUGGAGGAAACUCUGAACCGCAGUGACGCCGCGUAUAGGAUGAAGGUUUUCGGAUUGUAAACUAUUGUCGUUAGGGAAGAAAUUUGACAGUACCUAAGGAGGAAGCUCCGGCUAACUAUGUGCCAGCAGCAGC
rnacentral:rRNA from 1 species